UCUCACCCUGGAGUGGGAAGGGCUAGCGGCCUAGGAGCAGGGUACCUAAAGCAGAGCAGUGUUGGGGAAAAGGGCAAGAGGAGCUCCAGCCUGGCAACUCCCCAAGUUGAGGGCUUGGUUAAGGCCUAAAGAGCAGUAAGUGGACAAUUCUCUGGCCAAGAAAUCCACUUGCUCCUGUCACCAGACAGCUCACCCCAGCCAAAGACAUGGCACCUGAUUGCUCCCUAGCUGCAAACCAGCCAACUCCAGACCCAGGAAAAGCAGCUCCUCUUCCUGACUGAGAAGAAAAAGACACAGCAUCAACUUCAAGAAGCCCAGUGACAACACCAGAAAGCGAUUCCAGUGGAAAAAACAACCCAGUUUCAGACACCAACCCUAACUCAACAACUUCAUUAACCUGUUGAUUAACUUCACUGAUGCAUUAAUAUUCAGAAGCUGCCUGUACAUUUUUUAUGGCAAAUCACUAACACUUACUGAUUAGAUAUUAUAUAUAAGAGGAGGAAAUUCACAAAUCUGAAGAGGUUAACUGUUAAAAACGAAUGUACAUAAUAAAUAAACCUCACAGUC